rnacentral:rRNA from 1 species
UAGGGAAUCUUCGGCAAUGGGGGGAACCCUGACCGAGCAACGCCGCGUGAGUGAAGAAGGUUUUCGGAUCGUAAAGCUCUGUUGUUAAGGAAGAACGAGUGUGAGAAUGGAAAGUUCAUACUGUGACGGUACUUAACCAGAAAGGGACGGCUAACUACGUGCCAGCAGCCGCGGUAAUACGUAGGUCCCGAGCGUUGUCCGGAUUUAUUGGGCGUAAAGCGAGCGCAGGCGGUUAGAUAAGUCUGAAGUUAAAGGCAGUGGCUCAACCAUUGUAGGCUUUGCAAACUGUUUAACUUGAGUGCAGAAGGGGAGAGUGGAAUUCCAUGUGUAGCGGUGAAAUGCGUAGAUAUAUGGAGGAACACCGGUGGCGAAAGCGGCUCUCUGGUCUGUAACUGACGCUGAGGCUCGAAAGCGUGGGGAGCGAACAGG